CCUACGGGAGGCAGCAGUGAGGAAUAUUGGUCAAUGGACGAGAGUCUGAACCAGCCAAGUAGCGUGAAGGAUGACUGCCCUAUGGGUUGUAAACUUCUUUUAUCUGGGAAUAAAAUGUUCCACGUGUGGGAUUUUGUAUGUACCAUAUGAAUAAGGAUCGGCUAACUCCGUGCCAGCAGCCGCGGUAAUACGGAGGAUCCGAGCGUUAUCCGGAUUUAUUGGGUUUAAAGGGAGCGUAGGUGGAUGGUUAAGUCAGUUGUGAAAGUUUGCGGCUCAACCGUAAAAUUGCAGUUGAAACUGGCAGUCUUGAGUACAGUAGAGGUGGGCGGAAUUCGUGGUGUAGCGGUGAAAUGCUUAGAUAUCACGAAGAACUCCGAUUGCGAAGGCAGUUCACUGGACUGCAACUGACACUGAGGCUCGAAAGUGUGGGUAUCAAACAGGAUUAGAUACCCCUGUAGUC
rnacentral:rRNA from 1 species